rnacentral:rRNA from 1 species
GAUGAACGCUGGCGGCGUGCUUAACACAUGCAAGUCGAACGGGAAACCUUUUAAUGAAGCUUCGGCAGAUUUAGCUGGUUUCUAGUGGCGGACGGGUGAGUAACGCGUGGGUAACCUGCCUUAUACAGGGGGAUAACAGUCAGAACUGACUGCUAAUACCGCAUCAGCGUACAGGACCGCAUGGUCCGGUGUGAAAAACUCCGGUGGCAUCAGAUGGACCCGCGUUGGAUUUGCUUGUUGGUGGGGUAACGGCUCACCAAGGCGACGAUCCAUAGCCGGCCUGGGAGGGUGAACGGCCACAGUGGGACUGAGGCACGGCCCAGACUCCUACGGGAGGCAGCAGUGGGGAAUAUUGCACAAUGGGGGAAACCCUGAUGAAGCGACGCCGCGUGAAGGAAGAAGUAUCGCGGUAUGUAAACUUCUAUCAGCAGGGAAGAUAGUGACGGUACCUGACUAAGAAGCCCCGGCUAACUACGUG